rnacentral:tRNA from 1 species
GAUGUGGCUCAAGUGGUAGCGCACUUGCCUGGCAUGCUGGGGGUUCUGGGUUCAAUCCUCAGCACAACA